GCCAGGUGUGGUGGCGCACACCUGUAAUCCCGGCUACUUGGGAGGCUGAGGCAGGAGAAUUGCUUGAACCUGGGAGGCCGAGGUUGCAGUGAGCUUAUUUCAUACCACAGCACUCCGGCCUGGGCAACAGAGCAAGACUCUGCCUCAA
rnacentral:sRNA from 1 species